CACGUAGGGACCAAGCGUUGUCCGGAUUUAUUGGGCGUAAAGCGCUCGUAGGCGGUUUGGUAAGUCGGGUGUGAAACCUCCAGGCUCAACCUGGUGACGCCACCCGAUACUGCUAUGACUUGAGUUCGGUAGGGGAGCGGGGAAUUCCCGGUGUAGUGGUGGAAUGCGUAGAGAUCGGGUGGAACACCAGUGGCGAAGGCGGCUCGCUGGGCAUGUCCUGACGCUGAGGAGCGAAAGUGUGGGGAGCGAACGAGGA
rnacentral:rRNA from 1 species